GCCAGUUUGGCUCAGUGGCUAGAGCGUCAGCCUGCAGACUGAGGGGUCCCGGGUUCAAUUCCGGUAGGGGGCA
rnacentral:tRNA from 1 species